UACGUAGGUGGCAAGCGUUACUCGGAAUCACUAGGCGUAAAGCGCAGGUAGGCGGUUUGAUAAGUCUGUUGUGAAAGCUCCCGGCUUAACUGGGAGAGGCCAACGGAAACUGUCAGGCUUGAGUGUGGUAGAGGUAGCUGGAAUUCCCGGUGUAGCGGUGAAAUGCGUAGAUAUUGGAAAGAACACCGAUGGCGAAGGCACUCUACUGGGCUAUUACUGACACUCAGAGACGAAAGCUAGGGGGAGCAAAUGGG
rnacentral:rRNA from 1 species